CGGGGGGGGGGCAAGCGUUGUUCGGAAUUACUGGGCGUAAAGGGCGCGCAGGCGGCCUGGGCAAGUCCUACGUGAAGUCCCACAGCUCAACUGUGGAACUGCGUGGGAUACUGCCAGGCUUGAGUCCGGGAGAGGAGAGUGGAAUUCCCAGUGUAGCGGUGAAAUGCGUAGAUAUUGGGAGGAACACCGGUGGCGAAGGCGGCUCUCUGGACCGGUACUGACGCUGAGGCGCGGAAGCUAGGGGAGCAAACGGGAUUAGAUACCCCGGUAGUCCUAGCCGUAAACUUUGAGCACUUGGUGUGGCGGGUAUCGACCCCUGCCGUGCCGAAGCUAACGCAUUAAGUGCUCCGCCUGGGGAGUACGGUCGCAAAGGCUG
rnacentral:rRNA from 1 species